rnacentral:rRNA from 1 species
AACGAACGCUGGCGGCAUGCCUAACACAUGCAAGUCGAACGAGACCUUCGGGUCUAGUGGCGCACGGGUGCGUAACGCGUGGGAACCUGCCCUUAGGUUCGGAAUAACUCCCCGAAAGGGGUGCUAAUACCGGAUAAUGUCUUCGGACCAAAGAUUUAUCGCCUUUGGAUGGGCCCGCGUUGGAUUAGCUAGUUGGUAGGGUAAAAGCCUACCAAGGCGACGAUCCAUAGCUGGUCUGAGAGGAUGAUCAGCCACACUGGGACUGAGACACGGCCCAGACUCCUACGGAAGGCAGCAGUGGGGAAUAUUGGACAAGGGGCGAAAGCCUGAUCCAGCAAUGCCGCGUGAGUGAUGAAGGCCUUAGGGUUGUAAAGCUCUUUUACCCGGGAUGAUAAUGACAGUACCGGGAGAAUAAGCACCGGCUAACUCCGUG